CCUACGGGUGGCAGCAGUGGGGAAUAUUGGGCAAUGGGCGCAAGCCUGACCCAGCAACGCCGCGUGAAGGAAGAAGGCUUUCGGGUUGUAAACUUCUGUUCUCAGGGACGAAGCAAGUGACGGUACCUGAUGAAUAAGCCACGGCUAACUACUGGCCAGCCGCCGCCGUAAUACGUAGGUGCCAAGCGUUAUCCGGAUUUACUGGGGGUAAAGGGCGUGUAGGCGGGAAAGCAAGUCAGAUGUGAAAACCAUGGGCUCAACCUGUGGGGUGCAUUGGAAACUGUUUAUCUUGAGUACUGGAGAGGCAGACGGAAGUCCAAGUGUAGCGGUGAAAUGCGUAGAGAUUAGGAGGAACACCAGUGGCGAAGGCGAUCUGCUGGACAGCAACUGACGCUGAGGCGCGAAAGCGUGGGGAGCAAACAGGAUUAGAUACCCCAGUAGUC
rnacentral:rRNA from 1 species